rnacentral:rRNA from 1 species
UACGUAGGGUGCGAGCGUUAAUCGGAUUUACUGGGCGUAAAGCGUGCGCAGGCGGCCCGUUAAGACAGGUGUGAAAUCCCUGGGCUCAACCUAGGAAUUGCGCUUGUGACUGGCGGGCUCGAGUACGGUAGAGGGGGGUGGAAUUCCUGGUGUAGCAGUGAAAUGCGUAGAGAUCAGGAGGAACACCGAUGGCGAAGGCAGCCCCCUGGGCCUGUACUGACGCUGAUGCACGAAAGCGUGGGGAGCAAACAGG